AAAAAAAUAUAAGGAUGUAUACAUGUCAAUACAUACUCCUUAUGAAAAAAAUAAACAUAAAAAGAGAAAUGAGAAGAAAAAUAUGAAUGAAAACAAUUACUAUAGAGUUGUCGAAGUGAAUGAAAUAUUUUGUAAAUUCAACUCCCACAGUUUCUUUCAAGUCUCUUUUGUCUCUUUGAAUUUUAGCCUAGUACCCCUUAGGAUUUAUGUCACUCUU
rnacentral:lncRNA from 1 species